rnacentral:rRNA from 1 species
AUAAAGACAAUUUAAUGGCCGCGGUAACACUGACCGUGAUAAUGUAGCGCAAUCAAUAGUCAAUUAAUUGUUGGCCGGUAUGAAUGGUGUCACGAGGGUCUCACUGUCUUAAGGAAAUUUCCAGCGAAAUUGAAUUUGUAGUGAAGAUGCUACAUCCAAAUUGUUAGACAAGAAGUCCCCAUGGAACUUUACUGGAGACUUAUGUGGCUAAAAUUAAUUUAUUUCUUACAAAUAAAUGGUUUUAAAAUGUGGUGUUAACCCCUCGGAUUGACUAGGGUUAUAAAAGAUCACUCUUUUAUUUAAAGAAAGCCAACUCAAAAGUUUAUGUUUUUGGGACUUGAUAAGUGGGACAGUUUGGUUGGGGCGACCGCCUUUUAAAAAGUAACGAAGGCGGGCUUAAGAUACAUAUUUAGUGAUGUCUGACUGCCAAGGGGAGAUCCUGAGCAGACACUUACUUUUUAGGUGGGUUUAAGUGACCCGUUAAUUUAGG